ACCGGCAGCCAUAUCACCUUGUAAGUCCAAGACUGGUUGACCACUGAAGCUAAGCAGGGCAGAGCUGGUCAGUACCUGGAUGGGAGACCUCCUGGGAAAACUAGGUUGCUGCUGGAA
rnacentral:rRNA from 1 species